rnacentral:lncRNA from 1 species
AUGUCUACUUCUUCACAGCACACAGUCUCUCAGAUUUUCCGAUCACAGUCAUUGAUCAGUCAUCAGAUUUAUUGUGAAUUUGUAUCUCUUUUUGCAUCUUUGCUUCUUAGACAUAUUGAGUUUGUGCAAGCACCAGUAUCUGAAUCAACAGCAAGAAUGAAGACAGAGCCCAAACUAGGAAGUGAUGCUAUGGGGUCUCUUGUGAUGCCUAUAUAGCCAGUGUUGGCACUGGUGCCUUGAGUUAAGCUAGCAGAGCUUUCCAGAGAUUUCCCUCACCUGCUUGCCUCAUACAGCUUCCUCCUUAUGGAUGGUCUGCUUUUCCUCUUUCAUUUACAAUAUUAUCUUUCAAAAGACCAAAUAAAUGCAGCUUUGAAAAUCUUUUCUUGUCCUUC